UAACUGCAGACCAUUUUCUUACUGGUUAUUGUAAAAUAUGUAUAGUUACAUUUUAAACACUAACAGCCUGUUCCACGAUGUCGAAAGAACACGUUCGCACAACUUUUACACGACAAACAGCUGAUUUCCGUUCCACUAAAAUCCAUCAGAACGAAAAUUUGCUCGAAAAUCAAAGCGAACGAAAACGUAAUCGUUUCAGUGUAAUUUUGCGUUCCACUAUCUUUUUUCUUUCGUACGCAUGCGAACACAAAUGUCAAAAUCAGUCACUUGUGUGUUUGCUGUCGAAUGAUAAAAAUUAAGGAAAAUUGUUUUAACAUAAACAUUUCUUGAUUGAAAAUGGAAAGAAAAAUCACGAAAAAACUACACAGCUGCGGGCAAUAGUUGAGUAUAUGGGGGAGAAUCCUAAGUUCGCCAGAGGAGUGCCAAUUUUUGGAAGCAGCAGGCAAUCCCAUGAAGACCACUGGAAGACACAAACCUAGAAAAAAUCAUUUUUUUAUUAUUUUAAAAAUGUAAAAAUACAAUCAUACUUACUGGUUGUUAGGUACUUCAAAUAAAUUCGAAGCAUCUCUUAAAUGCCUCCGUGGCACAAUUUGAA